rnacentral:lncRNA from 1 species
GAUUUCAUUCCUUUUUAUUUUUCUUUCAUUUAUACUGGAACCAUUGAAUUCAUUAGAUACCGAUUCCUAUCUCGAAAACGCGUUUUCUCCUCUUUGAUUUUAUUAACUAUCUUCUAUAGGAGACCCUUUUUUUGUCCAAUCAAAAAUGAUUUUAUCAUUUCGGAAUCCGCAAUUCAAUAUAGAUGGAUAUAUACCCGAUCUAUAUGUCUCGCUUCCUGUCAUUUUGCCAUUCAAUUUGGAAUACUUGAACGAUCGAUUCUUGUUUUUUAUCUUCACUUUCCCCUGAAAGCCGAGGAAUGUCUCAUUAGUUAUAACUAACCAUUCCAUUAAACAAUUAGAAUUUGAAAUAAAUAUAGAAUGAGAGAUAUAUAUAAUAUAGAAUAUAAUAUACAAAUAUAGAAUAUAAUAUAGAACUGUAAUAAAAAGUAUUUCAAAUGCCAAAAAAAGAAAUGAAAAAAAAAGAAUAUUUACCAUUCAAUUCAAAUUGAAAAUCAAAGAAUAUUAACAAUAUUUACAAUCACUAUUUAAUAAUAUUAGUAUUAGAAUUGUGAUAAAUCGAAAUUCUAGAUCGCUAUAUUAAUCCUUAUGCUCUAGAAUAUUCAAUAGAAUAUUGACUAGUUAAUAACUAAGAUUCCAAUUCCAGUAGUUUAGUCAAUUACUAUGCAUAUAAGAUUUCUGUGAUGUGGGCCCGCUUAGCUCAGAGGUUAGAGCAUCGCAUUUGUAAUGCGAUGGUCAUCGGUUCGAUUCCGAUAGCCGGCUUUUCCCUAUUUUUUUUUUUCAUUUUUUAGAUGAUUGAUAAUGUUCCUUUGAAAUCAAAGAAUAUUGAAAUUGCGCCUUCCUCCUUUUCCAAAAGCUAUCAAUUUAUUAUAGGAACUUCCAAUUAUGUCAGCAAAGAAUUAUAUAUAUAUAAUAGAAGGGGUUCUGUAUAUUUAUCUAAUUCAUCCCAUUCUUCUUUUCUUUAUAGUAUUUAUAGUACAAGUACACUAUUUCAGUAAACUUCGCUUCAUUUAGUUCAGUUUAGUUUUAGUUUAGGUUUAUUCUGUAAAAUAAAAUUCAAUAAAAAAAAUAGAAAUAAGAAUUCAUUCGAAAUACUAAAUAAGAAUAAGGAGUCUUUAUGUCGCGUUACCGAGGACCUCGUUUCAAAAAAAUACGACGCCUGGGGGCUUUACCAGGACUAACUAAUAAAAAGCCUAGGACCGGAAGUGAUCUUAGAAACCAAUCGCGUUCCGGUAAAAAAUCUCAAUAUCGUAUUCGUCUAGAAGAAAAACAAAAAUUGCGUUUUCAUUAUGGUCUUACAGAACGACAAUUACUUAAAUACGUUCGUAUCGCCAGAAAAGCCAAGGGGUCAACAGGUCAAGUUUUACUACAAUUACUUGAAAUGCGUUUGGAUAACAUCCUUUUUCGAUUGGGUAUGGCUUCCACUAUUCCCGCAGCCCGUCAAUUAGUUAACCAUCGACAUAUUUUAGUUAAUGGUCAUAUAGUAGAUAUACCGAGUUAUCGCUGCAAACCCCGAGAUAUUAUUACGGCAAAGGAUGAACAAAAAUCCAGAGCUCUGAUUCAAAUUUCUCUCGAUUCAUCCCCUCAUGAGGAAUUACCAAAUCAUUUGACCCUUCAGCCAUUCCAAUAUAAAGGAUUAGUCAAUCAAAUAAUAGAUAGUAAAUGGGUCGGUUUGAAAAUAAAUGAAUUGCUAGUCGUAGAAUAUUAUUCUCGUCAGACUUAAACCUCAGACUUAAACCAAGGGUUCGCAAAAAUUUCUUCCCUUUAGGCGAAGUAAAUUAACCCAAGGUUAAGUAAGUUAAGUAAGAUCAAUCCGAGUUUGAUCUAGAUUUCCCCCAUUUUUGUAUCAUAGACCAAGGAUCUAUUUUCAUUCCUUGUCUAUUCUUUUCUUUCCAGUAUUUUGAUUAUGAUUAUUUUUGAGUAUUCUAUUUUACGCGUCACAGCAAUUAGGAAUUGAGAAUCUAUAUCUUUAGAUCAAAGAAGGGUCUAGCUGUUGGAAUAAUGGUAUACAAUGCUAUUUGAGUCCUUGUUGUUAGUAAAAUUGGUGAAUUAAGCGAAGGUACGGAAAGAGAGGGAUUCGAACCCUCGGUAAACAAAAGCCUACAUAGCAGUUCCAAUGCUACGCCUUGAACCACUCGGCCAUCUCUCCUACAUAAUGAUUAUGACCCCAAAACCGAGUGAAUAGCGAGUCAGUCAUAAUCCAUAUUCCAUUAUUGGAUAGGUACGACCAAUCCAUUUUAACUGAAAAUUUGUCAUCAAAGUCAAAGCAAAGAACGGUUUUUCUUUCCUUCGAGGCUCCGGGAUAAAGAUACAAUUUUUACGAAAAAUUGUUCAAAAAAUUCAAUUCAUGUUUGCAAAAACAACGUUCCCUUCUUUUUCUGAUAUUUUUCUAUUUUUAUAACGGAUUAAUUCAAUGAAUUAGAACGAAUCAACUGAUUGAUGGUCUAUAUCUUUUAGACUAUAGUUAAUGGAUACUCUUAAAUCAUAACUGUAAUUAUAAUUA